UACGGAGGGUGCAAGCGUUGCUCGGAAUCACUGGGCGUAAAGCGUACGCAGGCGGCUCGAUAAGUCGGGAGUGAAAGCCCGGGGCUCAACCCCGGAAUUGCGCCCGAUACUGCCGGGCUUGAGUACGGGAGAGGGAGAGCGGAAUUCCUGGUGUAGAGGUGAAAUUCGUAGAUAUCAGGAGGAACACCAGUGGCGAAAGCGGCUUCCUGGCCCGAUUCUGACGCGCAUGUACGAAAGCGUGGGGAGCAAACAGG
rnacentral:rRNA from 1 species